GACGAACGCUGGCGGCGCGCUUAACACAUGCAAGUCGAACGGAAAGGCCUGCUUUCCCUUGUGGAUUGCGGGUACUCGAGUGGCGAACGGGUGAGUAACACGUGAGUGAUCUGCCCCCAACUUGGGUAUAAGCCUGGGAAACUGGGUCUAAUUCCCGAUAGGACUGCAGGGUGGUGCCGGUGGUGGAAAACGAUUUUUUGGUGGUUGGGGAUGAGCUCGCGGCCUAUCAGCUUGUUGGUGGGGUAAUGGCCUACCAAGGCGGCGACGGGUAGCCGGCCUGGGCAGGGGGACGGCGACACUGCGCCUACGCUUACGCGCGGCAGCCUACGGGAGGCAGGAGUGAGGGGCGUAACCCUAUGGGCGGGACGCUGAGGGAGGGAUGCCGGGUUCGGGGUUGUAACCUCCUGUUGGCCGCGAGGAUGCGACCUGGUUGGAGGGGUGGUGACGGUAGUGGGAGAAGAAGCACCGGCUAACUACGUG
rnacentral:rRNA from 1 species